rnacentral:rRNA from 1 species
ACACCAGUGGCGAAGGCGGCUUUCUGGACGACAACUGACGCUGAGGCGCGAAAGUGUGGGGAGCAAACAGGAUUAGAUACCCUGGUAGUCCACACCGUAAACGAUGGAUACUAGGUGUAGGAGGUAUCGACCCCUUCUGUGCCGCAGUUAACACAAUAAGUAUCCCACCUGGGGAGUACGACCGCAAGGUUGAAACUCAAAGGAAUUGACGGGGGCCCGCACAAGCAGUGGAGUAUGUGGUUUAAUUCGAAGCAACGCGAAGAACCUUACCUGGGCUUGACAUCCCGAUGACCGGUGUAGAGAUACACCUUCCCUUCGGGGCAUCGGUGACAGGUGGUGCAUGGUUGUCGUCAGCUCGUGUCGUGAGAUGUUGGGUUAAGUCCCGCAACGAGCGCAACCCCUAUUGUCAGUUGCCAUCAUUCAGUUGGGCACUCUGGCGAGACUGCCGGUGACAAAUCGGAGGAAGGUGGGGACGACGUCAAAUCAUCAUGCCCCUUAUGCCCAGGGCUACACACGUACUACAAUGGCCGGCAACAAAGUGCAGCAAUACCGUGAGGUGGAGCGAAUCACAAAACCCGGUCUCAGUUCAGAUUGCAGGCUGCAACUCGCCUGCAUGAAGUUGGAAUUGCUAGUAAUCGC